AAUGCGAAUAGGUGAGUUUCUCUGUUAUCAAGGAUAUGUUAAAAAAAAAAAAAAACAUAACUCUGGUGAUGCCAAUUCUACUGCAAUUCGGCAAGAUUCGCUGUAGUAAAGUCAUAAUGAUAGUAAAUAUUUGGAUUUGGAAACCACUUCUCGGCCAAAAAUAUACAAUAUAAAAAUUAAAAACGACAUGGUGGUCGUGGCUCAAAGGCUUCUUCACGAGGUCUGAAUCCCCGCAAUCCACGUGUCAAUUCAUCACUGUUUAGCAAGACAAGAAAGAUGAACAUUCCCUCAAAUGACGAAAUCUUUCAGUGAGGAAACAAACUCACAGCGCGGCUCUCCAGGUGGUCUCGGGUUACUGGCACUGCUGCCAAAGGAUGACUGGAAGUUGUGAAUGGUUUCUUGCAGGAUUUGCCUUUCUCGGCCCUGAACGAGGCACACAAGUUUGAUUUACGCACUCUCAGGAAAGGAUGAUGACAUCUUUUGUCCAACUCCAAUGAUCCAUCACACGGCGCCGCUGUCACUUCCUCCCUGGGCACCAGUGGGGGCCACAACAGCGUUGACGGAACCAGCAGGUUUUGCAUCAGCUUUCAUCGUGGCGUCCAAGGACGUCUCCGCGUCGUCAGGGAAUGGAGCCAGUCGAUUGGACAAAAGGCCGUGCCUCAGGGUGAGGCACAGGAGCAUUGUUGAGGGCAAGCCUGCCUUUGGAAUGACCGACAGAAUUCCUGCCACGGUGUUUGGACCUCUCCUUAUCCACUUGCAUACACACUGAUGCUAACAGACGCACCAGCUCGGUGUCUGACAAAACAAACCCAAGAUAAAAGCAAUGAAGGGUAAUCUGUAAUUCAAGCGCGAAGUCAAAAG